UGGAGCAACGCCGCGUGAGUGAAGAAGGGUUUCGGCUCGUAAAGCUCUGUUGGUAGUGAAGAAAGAUAGAGGUAGUAACUGGCCUUUAUUUGACGGUAAUUACUUAGAAAGUCACGGCUAAGCUACGUGCCAGCAGCCACGGUAAUACGUAGGUGGCAAGCGUUGUCCGGAUUUAUUGGGCGUAAAGCGAGUGCAGGCGGUUCAAUAAGUCUGAUGUGAAAGCCUUCGGCUCAACCGGAGAAUUGCAUCAGAAACUGUUGAACUUGAGUGCAGAAGAGGAGAGUGGAACUCCAUGUGUAGCGGUGGAAUGCGUAGAUAUAUGGAAGAACACCAGUGGCGAAGGCGGCUCUCUGGUCUGCAACUGACGCUGAGGCUCGAAAGCAUGGGUAGCGAACAGGAUUAGAUACCCUGGUAGUCCAUGCCGUAAACGAUGAGUGCUAAGUGUUGGGAAGUUUCCGCCUCUCAGUGCUGCAGCUAACGCAUUAAGCACUCCGCCUGGGGAGUACGACCGCAAGGUUGAAACUCAAAGGAAUUGACGGGGGCCCACACAAGCGGUGGAGCAUGUGG
rnacentral:rRNA from 1 species